GAUGAUUUGUAUUUAAUAGGGCAUUUUAGUUUUGAAUUUUCCAUUCUGGUAUAAAUACUGUUGAUUAAUGCUGGAACACUGCCAAACAAGCUUGCAGUAGAAGAGCUGUGCAAUUUUUAAAUGUUCUACAUAAAUAUUCCUGACAUGGAGCCCAGUCCUCCUCAGCACAGCUUCCACUGAAGCUGCUGAUCAAGGGAAGCACUGGCCAUCUGUGAUGCUAAGGGUACAGAACUUAUGGUCUUAAUUCCCUGUGACUGUUAAAGGAUGAUAAUUGCUGAAUGCCUUCUGUUACUUCCUUCCUUUCCUCUUGUUAGCUUGGUUUGACUUAAAGACAGUCCCAGUGACAUCAUGGCUGAAAACCAUGUAAAAUAUGGGACAGGCUUAAUUGACAAUGAUUUUCACACAGGCACAGUGAGGCAUGAAGAAAUAACAUGGCAAGAACCGCACAGAAUCUGUACUUCGAGGUAAAUCAGCCUUGAGUCGCUGUGGAUGGCUGUCAAUGUUAAGAGGAAAAAAACAGAACAAAAAGUUUUCCAGUAUGCUUGGAAAGAGAAGAGAAGAGAAGAGAAGAGAAG